AGAGUUUGAUUCUGGCUCAGAACGAACGCUGGCGGCGUGGACAAGACAUGCAAGUCGAACGACGGCUACAGGGUAGCAAUAUUUUGUAGUCGGAGUGGCGCAAGGGUGCGUAACACGUGGGUAAUCUGCCGCGAAGCUUGGAAUAACCCCGAGAAAUCGGGGCUAAUACCAGAUGUGACUGUCUAGGGGCCUCCUUGGACAGUCAAAGUCGGGGACCGAAAGGCCUGACACUUUGCGAUGAGCCCGCGGCCUAUCAGGUAGUUGGAGGGGUAACGGCCCACCAAGCCUAAGACGGGUAGCUGGUCUGAGAGGACGACCAGCCACACUGGAACUGAGACACGGUCCAGACACCUACGGGUGGCAGCAGUCGAGAAUUUUUCACAAUGGGCGAAAGCCUGAUGGAGCGACGCCGCGUGGGGGAUGAAUGGCUUCGGCCCGUAAACCCCUGUCAUUUGCGAUCAAACGCUGUUAUUUAAAAGAUGACAACCUGAUAGUAGCGAAAGAGGAAGGGACGGCUAACUCUGUGCCAGCAGCCGCGGUAAUACAGAGGUCCCAAGCGUUGUUCGGAUUCACUGGGCGUAAAGGGUGCGUAGGCGGCCGGAUAAGUCUGACGUGAAAUCCCGCAGCUUAACUGCGGAACGGCGUCGGGUACUAUUUGGCUGGAGGUUUGGAAGGGGGACUGGAAUUCUCGGUGUAGCAGUGAAAUGCGUAGAUAUCGAGAGGAACACCAGCGGCGAAAGCGAGUCCCUGGACAACACCUGACGCUGAGGCACGAAAGCUAGGGGAGCAAACAGGAUUAGAUACCCUGGUAGUCCUAGCCCUAAACGGUGCAUGUUUGCUGUAAGCGGAAUCGACCCCGCUUGUGGCGAAGCUAACGCGUUAAACGUGCCGCCUGGGAAGUACGGCCGCAAGGUUAAAACUCAAAGAAAUUGACGGGGGCCUGCACAAGCGGUGGAGUAUGUGGCUCAAUUCGAUGCAACGCGAAGAACCUUACCUGGCCUUGACAUGCACAUAGUAGAAGCCUGAAAGGGUGACGAGGUAGCGAUACCAGUGUGCACAGGUGCUGCAUGGCUGUCGUCAGCUCGUGUCGUGAGAUGUUGGGUUAAGUCCCGCAACGAGCGCAACCCCUGUGUCCUGUUACCACCCGGCCAAAAACCGGAGCACUCUGGACAGACUGCCUCGCUCAAACGGGGAGGAAGGUGGGGAUGACGUCAAGUCAGUAUGGCCCUUACGGCCAGGGCUGCACACGUACUACAAUGCCCGGUACAAAGGGAAGCAAGACCGUCAGGUGGAGCAAAUCCCCAAAAACCGGGCUCAGUUCAGAUUGUCGUCUGCAACUCGACGACAUGAAGCUGGAAUCGCUAGUAAUGGCGCAUCAGCUACGGCGCCGUGAAUACGUUCCCAGGCCUUGUACACACCGCCCGUCACAUCAUGAAAGCCGGUUGUACCCGAAGUCGCCCCUAGAAAGGUGCCGAAGGUAUGGCUGGUGAUUGGGAUGAAGUCGUAACAAGGUA
rnacentral:rRNA from 1 species